UCGGACUGGCCCAGGGAGGUCGGCAACGACCACCCAGGGCCGGAAAGUUGGUCAAACUCGGUCAUUUAGAGGAAGUAAAAGUCGUAACAAGGUCUCCGUAGGUGAACCUGCGGAGGGAUCAUU
rnacentral:rRNA from 4 species